GAUAAACGCUGGCGGCGCACAUAAGACAUGCAAGUUGAACGGACUUAAUCGAAAUAUUUAUAUUUUGAAGCGGUUAGUGGCGGACUGGUGAGUAACGCGUAAGGAACCUGCCUAUUAGAGGGGAAUAACAGUGAGAAAUCAUUGCUAAUACCGCAUAUGCCAUAGAUAUCACAUGAUAACAGUGGGAAAGGAGCAAUCCGCUAAUAGAUGGCCUUGCGUCUGAUUAGAUAGUUGGUGGGGUAACGGCCUACCAAGUCGACGAUCAGUAGCCGGACUGAGAGGUGGGACGGACACAUUGGGAAUGAGAUACGGCCCAGACUCCUACGGGAGGCAGCAGGCGGGAAUAUUGCGCAAUGGAGGAAACUCUGACGCAGUGACGCCGCGUAUAGGAAGAAGGUUUUCGGAUUGUAAACUAUUGUCGUUAGGGAAGAGAAAGGACAGUACCUAAGGAGGAAGCUCCGGCUAACUACGUG
rnacentral:rRNA from 1 species